rnacentral:rRNA from 1 species
UGGGGAAUUUUCCGCAAUGGGCGAAAGCCUGACGGAGUGACGCCGCGUGUGGGACGAAGGCCUUCGGGUCGUAAACCACUGUCAGUGGGAAAGAAGGGCGUCGGCGCGAUAACCGCCGGCGUCUGACGGUACCUGCAGAGGAAGCCCCGGCUAACUCUGUGCCAGCAGCCGCGGUAAGACAGAGGGGGCAAGCGUUGCUCGGAAUUACUGGGCGUAAAGGGCGCGUAGGCGGGAUGGCAAGUCGGUCGUGAAAUCCCUCGGCUCAACCGAGGUGCGUCGAUCGAUACUGCCGUUCUUGAGGGUUGCAGAGGAGACUGGAAUUCCCGGUGUAGCGGUGAAAUGUGUAGAGAUCGGGAGGAACACCGGUGGCGAAGGCGGGUCUCUGGGCAACUCCUGACGCUGAGGCGCGAAAGCGUGGGGAGCAAACGG